rnacentral:rRNA from 1 species
GCCAUGCCGCGUGUGUGAAGAAGGUCUUCGGAUUGUAAAGCACUUUAAGUUGGGAGGAAGGGCAUUAACCUAAUACGUUAGUGUUUUGACGUUACCGACAGAAUAAGCACCGGCUAACUCUGUGCCAGCAGCCGCGGUAAUACC